ACCAAUUGGGCAUCAACAUUCUCUCUCAUCUCCUUCAUCCUUCUCUCGCACCUCCGUCUUCUCUCUUCCCACCUGAGUCCUCUUCGUUUUCCGACGUUGGCCGGAGAGCUUCCUCACCACGAGAUCGGCGACGGCCGGUUUCAACCCCACAAGAUCGUCGGCUUCUUCUUUGUUCUCAUCCCGCGCUCUACUUCUCUUCUCAUCUCUCUUGGCCGACGGUUCGAAGGUAGAAGAUCCCACGGGUUGCUGUCCAAGGCAAACUAAGGAGUCUUCUUCUUCGCGUGUUCAUUCCCCGCAUGAGUACCCAAAGGAAGAUCUACGAGCGCUAGGUGCAAUCUCCUCCAAACACAAAGGAGAUUAGAGGCCAAGCACUCCACCGAGAAGGCUACAAGACUCCAGAAUCCAACCACGGGUCACCGGCGUUCCGAGGCAGCGAUAAAUUCUCGAACUCCAAAAAAUAGGCAAGUACUCGAUUCCGUUUGGUUUAAGCAUUUGGGUUAAUCAAAAGUGAGGAGGAUAGGCAUUGAUUCGAGGCCCUAGGAAUCGGUUUGUCCCUCUGCUAACACCGAGAGACAGACCUUUGUCUGAAGGCUGAAAGUCACGGUUGUCUUCCUCGAGAAAUCCCUCUCCCUUGGCCAAAUGAAGUCUGGACCUGUCCACAAGUUGGGCGUUCGGAAUCGUGAACUAAAUAGGGGGCGUAGUCAUCUCGGUUUUGGGCCUGUUCGUAUCGCCGGAAAACAGUCAUAAUCCGACGGCUAUAGUGAUAGAUCCGGGUGUGAUCACGGUGCAAAAGCAAUACCCAAAGCAUCUCCCGGUGUAAUUUGGUGUCCAAUGGAGCAAAAUCGAGGUUGUACUAGCCUGGGCCAGAAUCCUUCGUAUUCCGGUGGCCGCUGGUACUAUUCCAGCCAGUUUAUCGUCAUCGGGAGAUAUUCUAGAUUUGCCUCUGUAUUAAACUUAGCAUCGUUAAGGGAAAUUAAUAUCGGGCAGGGGUAAAUCAGUCCAAGGAGUUAGCCAUUACAGUUAAGUAUCAUCCGAUAGCACCUUCCUUAGCCGUUUCCACUCUCCUCGGCUAGGAGUGCCACCUCGCCAUCGUGCCUCCAUCCUCGCCACUCACCAUUCCACGUGGCAAGCAUCCAUGAAGCCUACCAGCCACUCGCCCCUCUCACGAGCCUAACCCACUUAACCCGACUCACUCAUACCCACCUAACAUGCGUAACUCUUGACCCUUCUUAACUGUGAAGACAUCGAGAAUAAGAAGGCCAGAACCUACCGAGCGCCCUUAGCCUCACUUAACCCAACCCGAGCCAUAGUUGCACCAAGUCCUCAUCGUCGGCACCUGCUCGUCCAUCGCUAGCUGCGGCUGCAAGCUUGUUAGCAACCUCGGCCUGCGCCUCUCUCUCGCCACCGUCGUCGUUGUCAUCCUUGUUACCCAUGGCGAGGAGGGUCGCGCCAUCGCCGGCCUUCAUCGUCAUCUACUCGGCCAGGAGGGCCGAGCUCUUCAUCGCUACGUCCUCGCCGUCACCACCGGUCGUGCCCACUGUCGGCCCGCGCAUGCUUCUCGUUGGUGCCUUCGACACUCUCUUGCGGCCAGGGUGGUCCCAACUGUCUACCACAUUUGUCCAUUCCUCUCAGCUAGGCGGGCCGAGACCCCAACUUCGUCUUGGUCAUCGUCAGCUCGGCCCGCCUCAACCAUCCACCUUCAUCCGUGCGCCACGACCACUUCAUCCUCUUCCACCGUAGCUGAGAUACACCGGGGUCGGCUUAGCCGAAGGUUUUUCCCGGUGUCAUUUGCUGUUCAGCCGAGAGUCCCUCGGCCGGUAAUCCCUUCUCCCCCCUUGUAGUUCUAGAGCGGUAGUUCUUGCUUAUUUGUUUUCUGUAUUUUGUUUUAACCUGACCUAACCCAUUGUUACCCCGUGUGGUUCCUCUGAGGCUCUCAGCUAAGGACACAACUCCCGACCACCUAUUGGGUUUUGGGUUUUGGGUGUGCUUUGCACGUUAGUCGUGGUUUGUUGUGUGACUUUGUGUGAUUUGAGAGUGUUUUUCUUGUAUCAAUUACGAUUCUAAAGAUUUUUACCUUUAGUCUUGUAGUAGAUUGUACAUCUCGCAGGUUGGAAAGUAUUCACUGUAUCUUGUCCUACGGGUUUUGCACCGGGGUGUCUGUUCGGCCGGGUAGUUAUUUGUAAUUAACUCUCUUAGGUUUCAAUUUUUUGAUUGGGUCACCUCAAAGAUCCUAGCACUAGGGCUGUAUCGUGGCCUAGAGUCGGUCGACACUAGGUAUAGUCCGAUCAGGGUGCGACCAAAGCACACCCUUAUGGACUCAUCAAAGUUGUUUAAAACCUCAAAGGCACUCAUAUUAGGAAGUGCCAUUUCCGAUAUUGCUAAAUUGUGAAUUCGCCAAUUCAAAUUGAAUAGGCUCAAUUCACAUUCACUUUAGGAGCCAAUUUGAUGGCCAUAAAAAUCACCCCUUCUUUCAUGAAUUGGCAUAACUGAUCAAGAAUCGUGUGAUUCACAUUGAAUUGCUUGAUUUUAUCACUUUCAAAAUCACAAACUACUGCAAUUUGAACUAUGUUCUUCUUUCUAGUCAUUUUUUAUUUCGAGUAGCGGAGCUACUUAUUGGCUGCCGUGGGCCACUGCUCAUGCCAGCCCAUCAAAAAUUUCAUUAUAACGUGUUAACUUCACGUUGUUAUGAUAAAAUUAUAUUAAGUGACCAAACCAAAGUUGUGUCACCAACGCAAGUGCCCCAUAGAUGAAAUAUCUUCGCUCACCCAAUGUCUAUUUUCUUUCAUCUUGAUGGAAGCAUGCUCAUUUGAGAACAAAAGAGCAUUGUUUGCUUGUUGAGCCUGUUGGAGGGGAUUGCUAAUUGGUACUUGCAAGUUGUAAUCUAAAAGAGGUGCAUUCAAAAAUUGAAGGAUUUGGAGCACAUUUGUGACUUUUUUUUUUCCAUUUUGGUAAUUUGGAGUUCAUGCUAACAUUGGAUAGCUUGUUUGCACUUUUUUACUUCCUUGUUGAAAUUGUUUGGACCCGACGGGAUUAAAGACGAUUGGGCAAAUAGGAACACAUCAAGGAUCAUGCGCAUAGUGAUUUCCCUUUAUUAAAUGCUUCAAUUCUUUCUUUUUUGGCCUAUAUUUUAUGAAUGCGAGAAUGCGAAUGGUUCUUUUAUUGUGCAACGAAGUCCAAGGUAACCUCAUGUUCAUUUCUCUAGCUAUUAGUGUUUGAUGAGUUGAUAAUGGGAAAGUUGUUUUGAGCAAAUAUGCAACUUUUUUAGUUGGACUAAGUUACAUUGGUGUGAGUAUGAGUAUGGGGAAAUGGACACGUGCACAACAAUUUUAAAUAAAAAAAGGUGAGAAUAAAAAAAGGUGGGUAUGACGGUAAUAACAAUUAUAUAUAUAUAUAUAUAUAUUUAUAAAAAGUGAGUAAAUGAAUUGGUUUGAGUAUGAGAAUGGGGAAGUGGACACGUGCACAACAAUUUUAAAUAAAAAAAGGUGGGAAUAAAAAAAGGUGGGUAUGAGGGUAAUAACAAUUUUAUAUAUAUAUAUAUAUAAAGUGAGUGAAUGAUGAUUGACGCUAAUUAACUAGAAUUACCACAAAUAAAAAAAUUUGUAAAUUAGGUGACAAAAAUAUUCUCUCACUUUGUUUUUUUUUUAACCAUCCUUCAAGUUGGAACAAACAGAUGACUCGGUAAAAAAAGCAAAAGUUACUAAGAAAUAAACAAAAGCUACCUAAUUAAGGCUAUCCAAAUCAUUUAGAUGAUUAAAAAACAACGAUGGAUAUAUAUAUAUAUAUAUAUAUAUAUAUAUAUAUAUAUAUAUAUAUAUGCUGCCCCAACGACAGCUCCGACCAGCGUUCCCGCCUGACGAGCUGCCCUCAACGACAGCCUCGACAAGCCCUCCCAACUACCCACCUCUCGCCUGAAGAUCUUCCCUCCGCGAUGUCUACCAAGCUCGACAGAUGACCAGCUCCGAGCUGCCCUCCCGCCUGCUCACUCCCGCCUGAAGGACUUUGUUAUAUCAUUCCUGAAAAUAUUCUCUCCCAAUAAGCUGGACUGCGUACUCUGUGAUUGUAGGGAAUUGUGGAAGGCUGACUUUGGUUGAGCACAUCAAAUUUGAUCAUGGAUAUACAACUAAAAGACCUGCAAUAAUCAAUGUUACCAAAAUCAAAAUUUUUCAUGAGCACAAAGCCAAGUGUUGCUGUGGGGAUACUAGUGCUUGUUGGUUCGAGCCUAACCACUGCUGCUGUUAUGGUUCUCUUCCAUCUGACUGAAGCUUGUAGGUGGAAUUAGUGGAUCUUAGGCUAUGUUACAUAGGUACGAGUGCCGUUGCGAGUACAAGUACAGACCAUUUUUAAAAAACUUGGGUGCGGGGGUACGACCGUACACACACUUGCACAUAUACAUAUAUGUGUCAAAAAAUUUUUAACAGAAUAACAU